rnacentral:lncRNA from 1 species
UCUCUCCCCAGAAGAGUGCGCGCGCGCGCGCGUGUGUGUGUGUGUGUGUGUGUGUGUGUGUGUGUGUGUGAGUGAGAGAGAGAGAGAGAGAGAGAGAGAGAGAGAAGGGGAGGAAGUGGAUUAAGAAGGAAGAAGAGAUACUUUGGAGGGGAAGCUUUAAACCGUUUUCCUCAUUCGAAUGUCUUCAUCAUGCCGUACCCUGCUCUGACCCCAGGACGCUGUCAUUCCGCCCGCGGCCUGCGCUCCUUUCUGCUGCCCCAGCCCUGGCUCCCGGAUGCAGCCUGGGCCGAGGGGCUCCCCACUCCGUGCCUGCUCUCGCGAGCACCUCUGCCUCGCCCCACUUCCCCACCCCCCUAACUCAGCCUUACGUGUUCUCCUGCUUUUCUUGCCACUUUUCCUCUGGCACAUUCUCUACCAGCCU